AUCAAAAGCAAAAAAUCGAAAAAAGAUUGCAAAACGAACAGCAAUAUUGUUGAAAAGAUUUUUUCUGUGAUAAAUUAACAAAUGUAGAACAAAUAUCAUUUGUUAAGAUUUCAAAGAGUUCACUUACUUCAUUUGUGUUAGAAACGAAGAAAAUCCAUGAGAGAAAAACGAAUUGUUGUUUAUAAAUAGAGAGAGAGAGAGAAAGAAAGACAAGUAGAAUAUGGAUCAAUUACCACGAUUUUCCCGUUCAUUACGUGCGAGUCUUAGAUUGGACAUUCAAAGAAACGCCAACUAUCAAGCCGAUCAAGUGGUGGUAAAUUUGUGGCAUGAAGAAAACGAGAGAGCCAAAACCAUUUCAUGGAAGAAGUUUAAAAUGAUGGUACAGCAAAAAUUUGCGGAUGAUACAAAUAAAUUGAAUAAUGUCACCAAACAAUUACAAAAUCUAUGGAAUUUAACGCGAAAUCUUAUCGGUGAUGAUGAGAAUGCCGCUGUUAUCGAUGAUUCGGCAAUAUUUCUGUUCCGUUUCUUUCUUGAUGUCAGCAUUGUAAUGGUUCGACAUUUAAGCGAAUUGAAAGUGAUAUUUGGUAAAAUAACAUCACAGCAUGCAAAUAAAAUUUGUUCGAUGGUAUGUGAUUUAAAAGCCGUGCUCAGCGAUGAUUUAUUACAAGUGAUACGCGAUGAGGUGAAGCAUGAAGAAAAUGGCAAAGAUGAAGACGGUAAAAAGGCAACAAAACGUUGGGGCAAUAAUAUAAAAAUACAAUUACCAAAUGGUGUUGAAACUGAUGCCGACGAAUCGAUUGAAAUGUUGCAAAAUUUCGAUGUCACCGAAGCUGAUGAUGAAAAAGAUGGAAGUGCUGUGUCGGCGUCAUUUUCAAUGCGAUACGAUGAUAUCAAACCGGCGGCACAGCCAAAGACCACAUUCAAUCGAGCCUGGUUAUUGAUGCACGUAAGCAACGAAGUGGUCGAAUCACUGUUGUCCGUGCUCAAAUCGAAAAAGUCCAACAAUGAAUUGCAAAAUGAACUGAUAGAAUUGUUGGGUUUUGAUAAAUUUGAAAUUUUGGAGAAUAUUCUUGAGCAUCGAAAGGAAAUUAUCAAAAAUAUUGAAAACGAUGACAAAGUCAAUAUGAUGUACGAACGUGCUGCGGCGGCCGAACAAUGUGGUGUAGCAAAUCGCACAAAAUCACAACCGGUUGUUUCAUCUCAGGUGGUUGUUCAGUCGGAACAAGAGUUGAGCCUGUUGAAAAAAGUGCGCAAAGAUGAAAAGAAAUUGCGAACAAUAUUCACGGCACAAAAAACGGCCAUUGAAAAUGAACUUGAUGACAACGAUGAUGGCAGUUAUGAUUAUGUUGCAUCACGACUUAAAUUGCAGCAACAGCAGCACAUUUUGGACACCAUUAAGAAUCAACCGAUUUUACCGAAAGCGAAGAAAACAUCCGAUGCAAUGAGCUGGCUAACACAAUCAUCGAGGAAAGUAACGUAUCCAUAUGUAUUUGAUAGUCAAAUGGAGGCACGUACACAUGUUGGAUUUGUGGCCGGUUCAAAACUAGUACUGCCCGAGUCGGCAUUACGAACCGAUAAUAAAAUGUACGAAGAAAUCAAUUUACCAGCAAAUACUGCUGCGGUUGACUUGAAAGUUGGAGAUCAACGCAUACAGAUCGCUGAUUUAGAUGAAAUUGGUCAGCUAGCUUUCAAGGGAGUGAAAGAGUUGAAUCGAAUACAAAGUGUGGUUUUUGAAAAAGCCUAUCAUUCAAAUGAUAAUUUAUUGAUUUGUGCACCAACGGGAGCGGGAAAAACAAAUGUUGCUAUGCUUACAAUUAUCAAUGCUAUUCGAUCGCACACCGAUCAAGGUGUUAUUCAUCGAGAUCAAUUUAAAGUUGUCUAUGUGGCACCGAUGAAAGCAUUGGCCGCUGAAAUGGUGGAAAAUUUCGGAAAGAGACUUAAAUCAUUGGGAAUUAGCGUUCGAGAAUUAACGGGUGAUAUGUCACUAACCAAAUCGGAAAUUCAACAGACUCAGAUGUUGGUGACGACGCCCGAAAAAUGGGAUGUGAUAACACGUAAAGGAGCCGGCGAUGUUGCAUUGAUUUCGCUCGUUAAACUGUUGAUUAUCGAUGAAGUGCAUUUGUUGCAUGGUGAAAGAGGUCCAGUUGUCGAAGCAUUAGUUGCACGUACAUUACGGCUCGUUGAAUCCACACAAAAUAUGAUUCGUAUCGUUGGUUUAUCAGCCACACUGCCAAAUUAUAUUGAUGUGGCACGUUUUCUUCGUGUCAAUCCAAUGGUUGGACUAUUCUAUUUUGAUGGUCGUUUUCGUCCCGUUCCACUCGAACAAACAUUUGUUGGUGUGAAAAAUAUCAAACCGAUGCAACAAUUGGCCGAUAUGGAUACAGUUUGCUAUGAAAAAUGUGUUGAACAACUAAAAUUGGGCUAUCAAGUGAUGGUAUUUGUGCAUGCACGUAAUGCAACCGUUCGAACAGCGAAUGUUCUUCGUGAGAUGGCCACACAAAAACAGCAUUUAACUCUAUUUGCACCCGACGAAUCGAAGGAUUUGGGAUUGGCAAAGCGUUCAAUGGCAAACAGUCGAAAUAAACAACUAAACGAACUAUUUCAAUACGGCAUUGCAAUGCAUCAUGCUGGUAUGUUACGCACUGAUCGUUCAAUGGUUGAACGAUAUUUCGGUGAAGGUCUGAUCAAAGUGCUUGUUUGUACAGCAACAUUGGCAUGGGGUGUUAAUUUACCGGCACAUGCAGUUAUUAUCAAAGGAACGGAAAUUUACGAUGCAAAACAUGGUGCAUUUGUUGAUAUUGGUAUAUUGGAUGUGUUGCAAAUUUUCGGCAGAGCUGGACGACCGCAAUAUGAAAAAUCUGGUCUUGGUAUCAUUAUAACGGCACAUAAUAAAUUAACACAUUAUCUGUCAUUGCUGACCAAUCAAUUUCCCAUCGAAUCGAAUUUUAUCGAAUGCUUGGCGGAUAAUUUGAAUGCCGAAAUUACGCUGGGAACGAUUUGUAACAUUGACGAAGCCAUCGAAUGGCUUAGCUACACGUAUUUAUUUGUUCGAAUGAGACUGAAUCCACAAGUAUAUGGUAUGACCUAUGAAGACAUAAUGGAAGAUCCAACGUUAGAGCACAAACGACGUGCAUUAAUUAUAACGGCCGCACAAAGUUUGGACAAAGCACAAAUGAUUCGAUACAAUGUGCGAACGGGCGAUUUGCAUGCAACCGAUUUGGGUCGAACGGCAUCACAUUUUUACAUUAAAUAUGCAACCGUUGAAAUAUUCAAUGAACAUCUAAUGGAUGUCAUGUCUGAACCGGAAAUUUUACAUAUGAUGUCAUUGGCACAAGAAUUCCAGCAGCUCAAAGUUCGUGACGAAGAAUUGGACGAAUUGGAAGAUUUAACGAAUGAUUAUUGUGAAGUGGUGGCAAAAGGUGGUGCCGCCAAUAUUCAUGGAAAAGUAAACAUUUUAAUGCAAACAUAUUUGUCACGUGGUCAAGUUCGAUCGUUUUCACUUGUAUCCGAUUUAUCGUAUAUAACACAAAAUGCGGUGCGUAUUGUUCGUGCAUUAUUUACCAUUGAAUUGCAUAGAAAUAAUGCACUUUUGGCCGGACGACUCUUGAUGCUGAGCAAAAUGUUUGAACGACAAAUGUGGGAUUUUCAUACGCCGUUGCGACAAUUUACGCGAAUCGGAUUUGAUAUGAUUGAAAAAAUUGAGGAUCGUGGUAUCAGUGUGAUGGCAUUGCGUGAUAUGGAUGCCAAAGAAAUUGGUGACUAUUUACGAAAUCAACGAAAUGGUGCAUUCAUUGGAAAAUGUGCGGCCGAAUUUCCAAUUAUUGAAAUUGACGCUACAUUGCAUCCAAUUACACGAACUGUGUUACGUAUCCGAAUUUUUAUUCGUGCAAAAUUUCGAUGGAACGAUGGUGUUCAUGGUAAAUUUGCGGAACCAUUUUGGAUAUGGAUUGAAGACCCUGAAAGCAAUUACAUUUAUCAUUCGGAAUAUUUUCAAUUGACGAGAAAACAAGCAUUCUCCGAUGAACCACAAGAAUUGGUUGUGACAAUUCCAUUGCGAGAACCAUUACCACCGCAAUAUUACAUUCGGGCAAUAAGCGACAGAUGGCUGGGCAGUGAAACGUAUUUCGCAUUGAGCUUUCAACAUUUAAUCUUACCCGAACUGCAUCCACCUCAUACUGAAUUGUUACCACUUCAACCAUUACCGGUUUCCGUUUUGAAUAACAAAAAUUAUGAAUCAUUGUAUCCAUUCACACAUUUCAAUCCAAUUCAAACACAAAUCUUUCACUGUCUUUAUCAUAACGAUACAAAUGUUUUGCUCGGCGCACCCACCGGAUCGGGAAAAACGAUUGCUGCGGAAAUGGCAAUAUUUAGAGUAUUCAAUACAUAUCCAAAUGGAAAAGUCGUUUAUAUUGCACCACUGAAGGCUCUGGUACGUGAACGUAUCGAAGAUUGGAAGUAUCGAUUAGAGCAAAGGCUCGGCAAAAAAGUGGUUGAAUUGACUGGUGACGUAACACCGGAUGCUAGAGCAAUACGCGAUAGUCAUGUCAUUGUAACGACACCGGAAAAAUGGGACGGUAUCAGUCGAUCGUGGCAAACACGUGAAUAUGUCAAAGAUGUUGCUUUAAUUGUUAUCGAUGAAAUCCAUUUGCUUGGCGAAGAUCGGGGUCCAGUUCUUGAGGUCAUUGUUUCUCGUACAAAUUUCAUUGCAUCUCAUACAAAACGAACAUUGCGUAUUGUUGGUUUGUCAACGGCAUUGGCGAAUGCACGUGAUUUAGCCAAUUGGCUUGGAAUCAAAGACAUGGGAUUGUACAAUUUUAAACCGUCCGUUCGUCCAGUUCCGUUGUCGGUGCAUAUCAGUGGAUUUCCGGGAAAGCAUUAUUGCCCACGAAUGGCAACAAUGAAUCGUCCAGCAUAUCAAGCAAUUCGACAAUAUUCACCAUGUACGCCGGCUUUAAUAUUUGUCUCGUCGCGUCGUCAAACCCGAUUAACUGCACUCGAUUUGAUUGCAUUUUUGGCGGGCGAAGAUAAUCCAAAGCAAUUUAUGCAUUUGCCCGAACACGAAAUGGAUCAAAUAUUGGAAAAUAUCAAAGAUUCAAAUCUCAAAUUAACGCUUGCAUUCGGCAUUGGGCUUCAUCAUGCCGGUUUACAUGAACACGAUCGAAAAACCGUCGAAGAAUUAUUUUUACAUCGAAAAAUUCAAAUUUUAGUUGCAACAGCAACGUUGGCAUGGGGCAUUAAUUUACCCGCACAUUUGGUCAUCAUCAAAGGAACUGAAUAUUAUGAUCCGAAAUUGAAGCGAUAUGUCGACAUGCCAAUUACUGAUGUACUUCAGAUGAUGGGCCGCGCUGGACGUCCACAAUUUGGCAAUGAAGGUAUUGCUGUUGUUCUUGUUCACGAUGUGAAAAAGAACUUUUACAAAAAAUUCCUAUACGAUCCAUUCCCCGUUGAAUCGCAUUUGCUAAAUGUUUUACCGGAUCAUGUGAAUGCUGAAAUUGUUGCGGGUACUGUACAAACCAAACAAAGUAUUCUCGAUUAUUUCACGUGGACAUAUUGCUUUAGACGUUUAAUGCGGAAUCCAACGUAUUAUGAUUUGGCCAGCAUCGAAUCGCAAGAUGUAAAUCGAUUUCUAUCGAAUUUGAUUGAAACGGUGCUACAAACACUCACCGAUGCGGGUUGCAUUGAAAUUGAUUCAGAAGAUUCAAGGCAUGUAUAUUCAACAUCAAUGGGACGUAUUUCAUCGUAUUAUUAUUUAUCACAUCAAAGUAUGCGACAUUUUGCCGACUGUUUACACAAUGACAUGACAUUCGAAAAUGUUCUAUGGGCCAUGAGCAAUGCAUACGAAUUUUAUUCACAACCAUGUCGACACAAUGAAGAUAAAUACAAUAUAGAACUUUCGAAGAAUUGUCGUCUAAGUGUCGAUCCGCUAACAUGUGAUUCGCCACAUACAAAAACAUUCUUAUUGAUUCAAGCCCAUUUUUCACAUCUUCCACUUCCAAACUCCGAUUAUCUCACCGACACCAAGUCGGUUCUCGAUCAAUCCAUUCGGAUAUUGCAGGCAAUGAUUGAUAUUUGUGCUGAGAAUGGUUGGUUAAUUUCAGUAAUUCGAAUCCAACAAUUAAUGCAAUGCAUCAUCCAAGGACGAUGGUUUGAUGAAUCACCAGUUCUAUCGUUACCAUACGUUGAAGAGGAAAAUAUUCCAUGUUUUAAGCGAAUCCAUCUCAAAGAAUCAAUUUUGACAUUACCAACACUAAAGGAAAAUAUUUUCAAAAAUUAUGAAAUAUUGGCCGGCCCAUUGCGUGAAGAUUUUGAAGAAACACAAAUUGAACGAAUUUAUCAGGUAUUAUGUGAUAUGCCAACACUUGACAUUGAUCUAUGUGUAAUUGGUCAGCUACACAAUGAAACCGAUGUUGUGCAAAAUGUAAAGGUGCCAAUGACCAGAGACGACUGGAUUCAAAUUCAUCAAAACGAGGAGUACACGAUUCAAGCGAAUUUUCAUAGAUAUGUACAUCGAUCGGGCAAAGAGCGACAUAAAACAAAUUCAAUUAUUCCAAAAGUGCAUUGUCCAAAAUUCUCAAAAAUCAAAGAUGAAGGCUGGUUCUUAAUAUUGGGCGAACCAGGUCAAGCUGAAUUAAUUGCACUGAAACGAUGUUCUUAUCGUAAUUCGAAAAGUAUUCACUCGGUUACAUUCAUCGCACCAGAUAAAAUUGGUCGAUAUUUGUAUACUGUUUAUAUUAUUUCGGAUAGUUAUAUUGGUUUUGAUCAGCAAUAUGAUUUGCAGUUUGAAGUCAUAAACGAAAAAAAGCAUGACCAUCAUCAAUUCAUGGAAUUGGACUUUCCAAAAAUUGUUUAAAUAAUACCAGCAGAGAAUUUCUAUCAACGAUUACUAUUACAAUUAUUAUUAAUUUUAUUUAUUUUUAUUCCAUAAUUUGGAUCUGUAUGCCAAGCAUACGUGCAGUAUGCUGCCCGAAGGCCAAUUACAAUAAACAUAUAAAUUUCUAUGUUUGAAAUUUUAUUUCAGAAUUUAAGGACACCGAUUGCCAACGACAUUUUCUGCAAAUUCGAUAAUGGUCGUUUUUUAGAUACAAUUGCUAUCAUU